rnacentral:rRNA from 1 species
AUACAUGCAAGUCGAGCGGACGGAUGGGAGCUUGCUCCCUGAAGUCAGCGGCGGACGGGUGAGUAACACGUGGGCAACCUGCCUGUAAGACUGGGAUAACUCCGGGAAACCGGGGCUAAUACCGGAUAAUUCUUUCCCUCACAUGAGGGAAAGCUGAAAGAUGGCUUCGGCUAUCACUUACAGAUGGGCCCGCGGCGCAUUAGCUAGUUGGUGAGGUAACGGCUCACCAAGGCAACGAUGCGUAGCCGACCUGAGAGGGUGAUCGGCCACACUGGGACUGAGACACGGCCCAGACUCCUACGGGAGGCAGCAGUAGGGAAUCUUCCGCAAUGGACGAAAGUCUGACGGAGCAACGCCGCGUGAGUGAUGAAGGUUUUCGGAUCGUAAAACUCUGUUGUUAGGGAAGAACAAGUGCCGGAGUAACUGCCGGCACCUUGACGGUACCUAACCAGAAAGCCACGGCUAACUACGUGCCAGCAGCCGCGGUAAUACGUAGGUGGCAAGCGUUGUCCGGAAUUAUUGGGCGUAAAGCGCGCGCAGGCGGUUCCUUAAGUCUGAUGUGAAAGCCCACGGCUCAACCGUGGAGGGUCAUUGGAAACUGGGGAACUUGAGUGCAGAAGAGGAGAGUGGAAUUCCACGUGUAGCGGUGAAAUGCGUAGAGAUGUGGAGGAACACCAGUGGCGAAGGCGACUCUCUGGUCUGUAACUGACGC